UGUCGACAUCCUCAUUUUUGCUUCUCUCCCGAUCCUCCUCCCUCCGCGUGGUGCGAGCGUGACAGGAGCUAGGGUUAGCUUGCCGUGUGACCAGGAGAACGACGAUCGCGGCGGCGGAAGACUGGAUCUGCCUCGAGCCGAUGGUGGACGAUCACCACUCUCGUCGCUCAGUCCCCGCUAAUCCGGUAAUCCCUCGCACAAUCCCCACUCUCCUCGCUCGCAAAUCGUCACCGCAGCCGCAAACCCUGCCCCUCGGAGGCCCAUCCUCGCCAGCGCCGCCAUCCUCUCUCCUCCUCCGUCGCCCCUCUCUACCGAUGAGCAGCUCGAGCUCGACGCCGCGUCGUUGCCAUCACCCCACCUUCUCGUCCCUCCAGAUGUGCCUUCCAGCCCACAUCCUGCACGUUGCCUCCCUACCAAUCCCACUGAAGAUCAGGCAAUGCGAAACUUGACGAUCAGACACCCACGUCUGUCGCCACCCGAUCGUUCCCCGGGUGCCGGCGACAUCCACCUUCUACGGCCGGUGGAACGGGACAGGGAGGUCCUAGACCGCCCCUACCAGUGCCCCCAACUCAAGGCCCUCUCACGCCUGAGUCCCCGUCCCUGGUUGCCUCUGCCGCAACUCGUUCGAUCUACCACCAUCGCCGUUGGCCGAGCUUCAGUUGUUACCGCCGCCGCGAGAUCUUUCCAUGAACACAUCCUCCGCCUCACCAUCUACAACCUCAUCGAUUACUACUUCGAUGUGCAAAUCGGAGGUUUGCCACUGCGUGGAAUCUUAAGGCAAUCAGUGAAGUCAUGUUCAUCGCUCUCUACAAUGACACAGGUCACUUGUUAAUGGACAUAUACAAGGGAUCAUGAUGCGAUGCAAGGUUCUGUAAUUUACCAAGUUGUUUGCUUUGAAUUGCGCUGCCAUGUCAUCAGUAUAAUUUAUCAAGAUUUUUUUGGGGGGCAUAUAAUGCAGAAAUGGGUAAUCUAGAUUGAAAGUUACUGUCACGUUGGUUUGGAACAUAGUGUCAACUUAACUUUCUUUACUUGUUCUACGCAGAACGUCUGGAGUCACUUCUACCUAUGCUUGAAGGAUGAAAUUUUUUCAGAUGAUAGGGUAAUAUUGCUUGCACACGGUAGAAAACAUGGUGACGAGGUCCUGCUCUGCAAGUUGUAGUAUGUGCAUGUCAGUGCAGAUUAGUGCUGCUCUGCUUGAUCGGAUCAGUAAGGAUAGAUGAUCGACAUAAAUAUCUAGCUAGGAGAAAUCCUAACAACCAAAAGGCGCUGCUUGUUUCGGAAGGAGCCCUGGAGUUAUUUUGUUGGCUUCAGGCAUGCAUCCAUAUUUGUAAAAUUCAUUAUAGGCAUAAGAACGACAUAAGCGAAUGUGCUCGAAAAAAGAAAAACACCUCAGCUUUUAUCGCAUAUUAAAUUCACAAAGCACGGGCACACCAGGAGGCCAAAUUUAGUCGCUUUCUCUUCCAGUUCACGGUUUUGGAGGCUUUACCUGUAGCGACCAGAUUUGGAGGCUGGGCAGACCGUCAGGACGCUGGGGGAGGCGUCGCUGAUCAUGGAAGAGCUACACAAAGGCCGGAACUUACAGUUUCUCUGAAAACCGUAGGUACAUUCUGGAGUACAGGUGUUCUUCAGGUGAAACCUCCAACUAAGAAGGGAGAGGAUACAACAACUUAAGAUCAAUUUGCGUGUGCUUUACGGCGUUUGCCUUGCUAGCGUAAUGAUUCCCAUCAUUUUCCGUCCCAAAGAGGUCCAUUACCACACUGAAAAUAUAUACCAAUGGAAAAUUGUGAAACAAUGGCUCCAGGCGCAUGGCUAUCUGCUCAAGAGCAUGGCGUAGUGCUGUCUGCUUGAUUUCAAUUCGGAUGUUAAUGAAUCCUUGCUUUUUUCUAUAAAUUUAUCUUUGUGAAAAUAAUGAUGUCUCACUUCUACUUUGUACUUUUUCUACAACUUUUUUUAUUUUAUUUGUGAUCACAUGAAUUUUGAUUGUUUAGUGUUUAAGACAAAUAAAUACACACUGGUGCCAAAUAAAUCCAAAUGCAAAAGAAUAUAUGGAUUUAGUUCUAAUAACAAGAUUCAUACUUAAAAAUUGAGUAAUCCAAACAGGUGGCCUGCAUCAUCAUCCAUGUAAGCAAUCCAGGCCGCUGAGUUCUUUUUUUGUGUGUGUGCAUAUUUUAUAGAAAUAAAAGCAACUAUUCAGGGCCAAUUGGUUUCAAGUGUUCGUGAUGCCUGACAUUUCAGAAAUAUUAAUACAUGUAUCUAUCAUUGUCUUUUGUUUCUCAUAUGCAGUUCCUUUCGUGACUGGUUUUUUGCUCUUCACUCUUUCUGGAAUGGAGAAGUAAAGCCGGUAAGACCCCUGACCAGCUUCCUACCUUGCUCUUUAGUUUCAACUUUAGUGUAAUACAAUAAAUGUUGUUCCUGGAUGGUCAACACGCACAGUGGUAUUUAUGCGUAGAAAGUUUUGAUGUUGCUCUUAAUACUUUACUGUAAACGUGGUAAUGUAUCAAAUACUUGGACAUGGCGACUUGCAAGGAAGGAGUUAUAUGAUAGAAAUAUUAGAUCACAGUAUGAUGAUCCACAUUCCAGAGUUAAUCGUUCCUAGAGUUAGGGAAAAUAGUUGAGAAUCCGGAGCUUACUUGUGGCGUUGCUAUAGUGCGUAAAAGUCAUUUUACCAGUGUUCACAGAUUGUUUGUGUUGCUGCGGUCAGCCAUGCUAAAGAAUUCUCAACCAACCAACUGAACUUUUUGAGCUCGCAAGUCUAGACUCCCUUAGCCCGUGAUAAAUAAUCCUCGUACAUGGCAUGUGCAACAUUAAUACUCCCUCCGGUUCAUAUUACUUGCCGCUAAUAUGGAUGUAUCUAGAACUAAAAUGUAUCUAGAUACAUCUAUAUUGGAGGCAAGUAAUAUGAAUCAGAGGAAGUACCAGUAAAUUGCUUCUUCCUUUGUCGUCCUCAACUCCAUAAUAGUUGCUUGCUUUUAUUUAAGCGUAGAAAGUUUUGAUGUUGCUCUUAAUACUUUACUGUAUGACGUGGUAAUGUAUCAAAUACUUGGACAUGAUGUCCUCAACUCCAUAUGAUUCUUUUACCAUGCCAAAAAGAUACACUUAGUUGAUUCCAAAAGAAAUCUCUUUAGUUAGGUUUGUGUUGCAAUGCCAUCUUGAUGUGAAGUGAACUGGCAAGAUUAUUGUUCAAAGCAUCAGAUCAGGAUUGAAACAAAAAUUAGAGACUGCUAAACGUAUCCACAUCUCUUUUUUUUACGAUCAACUGAAUAUCUUCUCGCGGGCAAUCAAAAACAUACUAUAUUUCUUUCUUGAACAUGUACCUACAAAAAUCACAUUUUCAUUUCUGCAGGAAAGUAUUAUAUACGCUCUUCUUCUCCGACAAACUUAAGUUAUUACUUAUCUGCUUACAUGAAUAUUGUCAUAAAGAUGGAAAGAGACUUUCAGGUAUCACAUUCAUAAAGAGUUCCUUUAACCUGGGAUUUUUUUUCAUUUUACAUGACAAGCAACACCUGUAUUGCCUUGCAUAUUCAUCUUACACAAAGAAUACACUAAAAGUUUGUAGUAAUCCCUCUGCCCAAAUAAAAAUUCUCACUAUCAUGGGAGCUCUGGCACUUUCUAUUUCUGGUACUUGUGGAACUCAUAUGCAGAUCAGUGACAACCUUGAUGAUCAACAAGUAUGUAGCAUGUCCCUCCCAGCAAAAGAACUUGCAAAGUGCCACUACAGAAGUAGGUCUACUAAAAAAAAGUCAGUUGGUUGAGAAAUGUGGGCCUGAAAAAUUGUAUGAGUACCUUUGUUGAAAUGAUCUUGUAAUAUCAUCUUCUCAUAACUGAAGAAGUCCAGUGCAUCAAAGUCUUCAAUUUAUUAACCAAGUGGUGAUUCAGAGCU